GGGUGGGAUGAGCAGAUAAUUAGUGAAAAAGAAGGAUUUUUACUGGCAGAGCAAAUAAUCAGUAAAGGGAGUCAGAAUGUUGAAGACGAAACAGCAGAGAAUCCAUGUUCAGGUAAGGAUCUCUUUUGUAAUUAGUGAUAUGAGCUGAUGUAGCAUUAUAAAUGGGGCUGAUUUUGACAGUAGUUGCUUUGGUGCCAUUGUAGAGUGAUUGUUUACUGAUAUUUACAGUUCUGUUCUCUUAAUUGCACUUAUCUUGAGAAUAUACUAUUGCUUUCUGGAAAAAUAAUUUACGCUUGAAGAUAAAGUGGCUUAUUGUUGCUUGCAUCACAAAACACUUAGCAUCUUUAUUUCUUUAAAACCAUCUUUGUUUUUUUUCCUUUGGCGAUGAUAUCUAUCAAACAAAGUGUUUCAUCGCAAUUGUUUUUCUGUUUGCAUGCAUUAAGGCUGACUGGCUUUUAACAUGCUUCCUUCAGUUCAAUUCUUCCAGCGAAACCCAUGCAGGUUUUAUACGUAACUUCCAUUUUCAAAACCAUAUCAAGUUUCAAAGAUGAGGAAAACCAUGGCUUUUAUCUUGCUGAGACAAGGCUUACAUGUUGUAAUAGAAGUUAUGACAACAGGUGAUAUUGAAUGUAUUUUUGGGCUCAGAUCUUUUAUGUGUUAGUGUAUUUGACUUUUUUUUAGUUUUUUUGUGUGUAAAGUACAAUGGGCAUACAUGGUCUGGGAAUAAUAAGAAAUAGAAGUUAAGGAAGGAAAACAGUAAUAAUGUGAUUGCAACUUCUAACCAAAUGCUUUUAAUGAAGGGCAAAGUUUGUGCCAAUAUUUAAUGUAUUUUGGAAGAUUAGCUGGUUAAAACCUCAGACUAAAAUGUUAAGGACAGCUUUUGCUUUCAUGUUUCCACAUAUAUAUUUCUGACUGAACAAAACUCACCCUUUUUAGUGGUACAGUUUCAGUAGAAGUAAAACAAUUGAGUGAUGUUUAAGUGAUUAUUCUUCAAAUGUAUUACCCUCCCACUUUUUUCUUGCAAUAUGAGAUUUCCGAAUUAUAUAUAUUCCUCUGUCAGGAGAAGAAGAACCAAACUCCUCCCUUUUGAUCCCUCCCCCAGGCAUUCCAGUACAAAAGAAAACUUUCUGAGUGGGAGCUAGAUAGGUAAAAUGGAUGUUCUUCAGAACGUAAUUGUGAAGGUGAGAAAAAAUUUUUUCUAUCUCCUAGAAGAUAUGAGAGAGCAGAAAUUAGGUUAUGAAAUCAGUUUGAAAUCAGUUUCUAUUUAGAAGGGGAUGUUGUAUUUCGUUCUUGCUAAAUACUUUUAUACUGUAAGGAAUAUCCAUUACUGAAUUUGUUUAUUUAAAUCUGCAUAUAUUUGUUCA
rnacentral:lncRNA from 1 species